rnacentral:lncRNA from 1 species
CAUAUUCCCUUUCCCCUAAGCAUCUUCAGGAGCCUUCCACUCAUUCUUUCCACUGGAUUAAGGGAAACAUGGAUGGAGGCAUUCUCAGCUACCGUCCUAAGGAGUUUGUUCUGCCAGUCAGGCAGAAUAAGGGAUGGGAACGGCCACUGAGUGGGGGAAGAAAAUCACAGUCAGAACGGAAGAGCAGUAAACAUUGCUGCAGUUCAUCCACUCAUUCCAUUGGUCCCAGCAGCACGAGGCCUGUAACUGAUAUUGCCAUGGAAACCAGGCAGGGGCGGAGCUGCUGGAGUGUGUAUGUUCCGGGCUUUAUGUCCUCACAUUUUAAAAGGUCAUCUGCUUACUGCUUACGUCAGCAGCUUCUUCUUCACAGUCAAUGAUGCCCUAACUGACUCCAAGAGUACACAGUGGGUGGUCUGAUCGAAUGGAUUCUGACAUCAGCUCUGCCGUUCAACAUUUAUGUGACCUGGAAUUAGCCCUGCCACCUCUCCGUGCCUCAAUGUUGUCAUCUAUGGGCCCGAACAAGCUGUUUUAGCUGCUUGAAUCUGACUGCCACUGUCAGUUAUGAUUCUGUUUUGGCGAUAUGUUAUCAGAGUCAAUUUCUGGCUCUCCAAUACCCACGAAAUUAUUAAAUAAAUUUGCUUGCUUUCUUCAGCUACAUUAAAAA